CUUACCAUUCCGAACAGAGAAGUUAAGCCCAUUUGCGCCAAUGGUACUACAAUCGUGGGAGAGUAGGUCGCCGCCUUUC
rnacentral:rRNA from 1 species